GACUCGAUAGUGUAACGGAUCAGCACGGCUGAUUGGAAUAUCUGUAAGUGCGGUUUCGAGUCCCGCUCGAGAUU
rnacentral:tRNA from 1 species